rnacentral:rRNA from 1 species
UCGGGAAUUUUGGGCAAUGGGCGAAAGCCUGACCCAGCAACGCCGCGUGAGGGAUGAAGUAUUUCGGUAUGUAAACCUCGAAAGAAUGGGAAGAAUAAAUGACGGUACCAUUUAUAAGCUCCGGCUAACUACGUGCCAGCAGCCGCGGUAAUACGUAGGGAGCAAGCGUUAUUCGGAUUUACUGGGCGUAAAGGGCGCGUAGGCGGCGCGGUAAGUCACUUGUGAAAUCUCUGAGCUUAACUCAGAACGGCCAAGUGAUACUGCUGUGCUAGAGUGCGGAAGAGGCAACCGGAAUUCUUGGUGUAGCGGUGAAAUGCGUAGAUAUCAAGAGGAACACCUGAGGCGAAGGCGGGUUGCUGGGCCGACACUGACGCUGAUGCGCGAAAGCCAGGGGAGCAAACG